rnacentral:rRNA from 1 species
AGAGUUUGAUCCUGGCUCAGAACGAACGCUGGCGGCAGGCCUAACACAUGCAAGUCGAGCGCCCAGCAAUGGGAGCGGCGGACGGGUGAGUAACACGUGGGAAUUUUCCUCAAGGUACGGAACAACUCAGGGAAACUUGGGCUAAAACCGUAUGAUGCAGAGAUGCCAAAGAUUUAUCGCCUUGGGAUAAGCCCGCGUCAGAUUAGGUAGUUGGUGGGGUAAUGGCCUACCAAGCCUGUGAUCUGUAGCUGGUCUGAGAGGACGAUCAGCCACAUUGGGACUGAGACACGGCCCAAACUCCUACGGGAGGCAGCAGUGGGGAAUCUUGCGCAAUGGGCGAAAGCCUGACGCAGCCAUGCCGCGUGAAUGAUGAAGGUCUUAUAGGAUUGUAAAGUUCUUUCGCCCGUGACGAUGAUGACGGUAACGGGAGAAGAAGCCCCGGCUAACUUCGUGCCAGCAGCCGCGGUAAUACGAAGGGGGCUAGCGUUGUUCGGAAUUACUGGGCGUAAAGCGCGCGUAGGCGGUUUUGCAAGCCAGAGGUGAAAUGCCCGAGCUCAACUUGGGAAUUGCCUUUGGGACUGUGAGGCUUCGAGGACGGAAGAGGUGAGUGGAAUUCCCAGUGUAGAGGUGAAAUUCGUAGAUAUUGGGAAGAACACCGGUGGCGAAGCGGCUCACUGGUCCGUUUCUGACGCUAAAGCGCGAAAGCGUGGGGAUCAAACAGGAUUAGAUACCCUGGUAGUCCACGCUGUAAACGAUGAGUGCUAGGCGUCGGCAGGCUUGCCUGUCGGUGCCGCAGCUAA